GCGGGAGUGGUGGAAUUGGUAGACACGCUGGAUUUAGGUUCCAGUGUCGCAAGACGUGAGAGUUCGAGUCUCUCCUUCCGCA
rnacentral:tRNA from 2 species